rnacentral:misc_RNA from 1 species
AACGCACAUUGCGCCCAUUGGUAUUCCGAUGGGCAUGUCUGUUUGAGCGUCAUUACAGCUCUCGUCUUGCAAUUUAUUGUUUGGCGGUUUUGGGUUGGGAUAUGUUGGAAAAUCGACAUCCUACCUUAAAAUAGCACGCUCUGCGGGUGCUUCCACCUGAACGAACAUAGUAAUGAUAACUUGUUCCUGACCGGUGGAAAGGCAUUUUCCGCCUGAAUAACAAACCAAAUUCUAAAGUUUGACCUCAGAUCAGACAAGGAUACCCGCUGAACUUAA